CUGCGGAGGGAUCAUUACCGAGUGAGGGCCCCCGGGCCCGACCUCCCACCCUUUGUUUUCCAAACCACGUUGCCUCGGGGGCGACCCGGCCUCGGCCGGCGCCCCCGGUGGCCCAUUCAACUCUGCAUCUGAGCGUCUGAGCGAAUAGCGAAUCAAACAAAACUUUCAACAACGGAUCUCUUGGUUCUGGCAUCGAUGAAGAACGCAGCGAAAUGCGAUAAGUAAUGUGAAUUGCAGAAUUCAGUGAAUCAUCGAAUCUUUGAACGCACAUUGCGCCCCUUGGUAUUCCGGGGGGCAUGCCCGUUCGAGCGUCAUUAACACCACUCAAGCCUGGCUUGGUAUUGGGCGUCGCGCUCCGGCGCGCGCCUUCAUGUCGUCGGCCGAGCCGUCCGUCUCUAAGCGUUGUGGUCAUUCAUCCGCUUGCGAGUCGGUCGGGUCUGCGCCGUUAAACUCUUACUAAAGGUUGACCUCGGAUCGGGUAGGGAUACCCGCUGAACUUAAGCAUAUCAAUAAGCGGAGGAAAAGAAACCAACAGGGAUUGCCUCAGUAACGGCGAGUGAAGCGGCAACAGCUCAAAUUUGAAAUCUGGCGCAAGCCCGAGUUGUAAUUUGUAGAGGAUGCUUCUGGGUCGCGGCCGGUCUAAGUUCCUUGGAACAGGACGUCACAGAGGGUGAGAAUCCCGUAUGUGAUCGGCUUGCACCCUCCACGUAGCUCCUUCGACGAGUCGAGUUGUUUGGGAAUGCAGCUCUAAAUGGGAGGUAAAUGUCUUCUAAAGCUAAAUACCGGCCAGAGACCGAUAGCGCACAAGUAGAGUGAUCGAAAGAUGAAAAGCACUUUGGAAAGAGAGUUAAAAAGCACGUGAAAUUGUUGAAAGGGAAGCGCAUGCAACCAGACUUGUCGGCGGUGUUCCGCCGGUCUUCUGACCGGUCUACUCGCCGCCGACAGGCCAGCAUCGUCUGGGCGCGCCGGAGAAAGGCGCCGGGAAUGUAGCUCCUCGGAGUGUUAUAGCCCGGCGCACAAUACGGCGCCGCCCGGGCGAGGUCCGC
rnacentral:rRNA from 1 species